rnacentral:rRNA from 1 species
UGCCAGCCGCCGCGGUAACACGUAAGGAGCGAGCGUUGUUCGGAUUUACUGGGCGUAAAGGGUGCGUAGGCGGGCCGAUAAGUCGGAUGUGAAAUCUCACAGCUUAACUGUGAGUCGCCAUUCGAAACUGUCGGUCUUGAGUGCAGGAGAGGAAAGUGGAAUUCCUGGUGUAGCGGUGAAAUGCGUAGAUAUCAGGAGGAACACCGGUGGCGAAGGCGGCUUUCUGGACCGAUACUGACGCUGAGACGCGAAAGCGUGGGGAGCAAACAGGAUUAGAUA